GCUAACGCCUUGCGGGUAGCAGUGGUAAUAGUGAGGGUGCAAGCGUUAUCCGGAGUUAUUGGGUUUAAAGGGACCUUAUGCUGACUUAUAAGUCAGUGGUGAAAGCCUGUCGCUUAACGUUAGAACUUCCAUUGUUACUGGAAGUCUUGAGUAUAUUUGAGGUAGCUGGAAUAAGUAGUGUAGCGGUGAAAUGCAUAGAUAUUACUUAGAACACCAAUUGCGAAGGCAGGUUACCAAGAUAUAACUGACGCUGAGGGACGAAAGCGUGGGGAGCGAACAGGAUUAGAUACCCUGGUAGUC
rnacentral:rRNA from 1 species